rnacentral:rRNA from 1 species
AUUGAACGCUGGCGGAAUGCUUUACACAUGCAAGUCGAACGGCAGCACGGACUUCGGUCUGGUGGCGAGUGGCGAACGGGUGAGUAACAUAUCGGAACGUAUCCAAUAAUGGGGGAUAACGAGUCGAAAGAUUCGCUAAUACCGCAUACGCCCUACGGGGGAAAGCUGGGGAUCGCAAGACCUGGCGUUAAUGGAGCGGCCGAUAUGUGAUUAGCUAGUUGGUGAGGUAAAGGCUCACCAAGGCGACGAUCAGUAGCUGGUCUGAGAGGACGACCAGCCACACUGAACUGAGACACGGUCCAGACUCCUACGGGAGGCAGCAGUGGGGAAUUUUGGACAAUGGGCGCAAGCCUGAUCCAGCCAUUCCGCGUGAGUGAAGAAGGCCUUCGGGUUGUAAAGCUCUUUCGCAAGGGAAGAAAACUUACCCUCUAGCAUAGGGUGAGGUUGACGGUACCUUGAUAAGAAGCACCGGCUAACUACGUGCCAGCCGCCGCCGUAA